rnacentral:rRNA from 2 species
GCUCAGAAAGAACGCUGGCGGCAGGCCCAACACAUGCAAGUCGAGCGCCGUAGCAAUACGGAGCGGCAGACGGGAGAGUAACACGUGGGAACGUACCCUUUGGUUCGGAACAACCCAGGGAAACUUGGGCUAAUACCGGAUAAGCCCUUACGGGGAAAGAUUCAUCGCCGAAGGAUCGGCCCGCGUCUGAUUAGCUAGUUGGUGGGGUAAUGGCCCACCAAGGCGACGAUCAGUAGCUGGUCUGAGAGGAUGAUCAGCCUCACUGGGACUGAGACACGGCCCAGACUCCUACGGGAGGCAGCAGUGGG